ncrna:unclassified sequences AdoCbl variant RNA
AGACUGAAAUGCAUGGUGGGAAAUCUGUGUGAAAUUCACUUGCUGUUCCUGCAACCGUAUAGUCGGAGCGCCACCCAGUCU